UACAGAGGUCUCAAGCGUUGUUCGGAUUCAUUGGGCGUAAAGGGUGCGUAGGCGGCGCGGUAAGUCGGGUGUGAAAUCUCGGAGCUUAACUCCGAAACUGCAUUCGAUACUGCCGUGCUUGAGGACUGGAGAGGAGACUGGAAUUUACGGUGUAGCGGUGAAAUGCGUAGAUAUUGGGAGGAACACCGGUGGCGAAGGCGGCCAUCUGGACGGAUACUGACGCUGAGACGCGAAAAGCGUGGGGGAGCAAAACAGGG
rnacentral:rRNA from 1 species